UUCGACGUGGAUUCGAGCGAAGUGCAAGAGGUUAAAUCGAAAGGGAGGAUUAUUGCGACGGUGUAUUUCGGAUAUCGCCGGGAGCGCGUAAAUUCCCGAGGGCUCGCCCAUAGGAGAAGCUCCACGAGGAGGAGUCUGGCUUGUUCGGUUCUCGAGGUGGGUGUAAUCGAGGCUCGCGGAAGGAUAGUGAAAUAGAGGCUGCGAAGUAGGGUGGCGAUGGCGAUGGCGAGGGUGGCGGUAGUAGUGGUGGUGGUGGUAGUGGUGGUGCAACGCCAGAGAACGAGGACGAGGAGGAGGAAAGUGAUUUCGACCAUAACAGCUGCUCCUCCUCGCAGCGCGACUGGGUAUCCUGAAUGCCGGUGCUGGAGUUCCUCUGAGAGUCGCGAGUGGAGUUGGCUAGAGUGAUCCCGAACGUCUAAGAGACGAGGUUAAGCAAAUGUGUGCUCUCCGACUUGGGAGCGUCUAAGAUUACCUCGAAAAGGUCGAGAGCCUAUACGGAGGACGCUCUCGUGGCUAUACGUCGGAAACUUUGACACAAUUCCGUACCGUGGAAUCGCUCCGCAGUGUCUCCGAUUCCCGGAUUCGAGUACUUUUCAAGUCAGUCUUUUCCCCUUGGGAAUAGGAGAAGAGAAUAGUAUCGAGUGUACCUGUGCGAAAACGUCUCGCAUUGAUUUUACUUUUUUUCGCGAGUUAGAUCGUUUCACUUUGCCGCUCGCAAUAUUGCGGCGUGUUCCCGCCCAAAAUACUGUUUUUAACGAUUGGCUGAGUUAUUUGUCAUUUUCAUGUAUAAAAGAAUGCAUAUUGCGUAAUGCUAUUUUAGAGAAGGUAUAGCGCGUACAAACGUCCUCAUUAACCUCAUGAAUUAUAAUUUACGCAGAUAUUUUUUAUUCAUCAUCCAUGAAUAGAACGUCUUUAUCUAUUAUUAUAAUCCGUGCAAUUCAACGGACAACGUAAUAACUCAGCGUAAUAAAUCAGAAAUAUGUAUAAUGUUGAGCGUUAUAAACAUUUCUGAUAAUUUGAAUCUCCGAAGCAUUUUAUUAAAAAACGAGAAUUUUCCCUCGUUUCCCCGUUUUGUAUGCCAAGUUCUUCUAUUCACGGGACAUAGAUGCGCGAGGCGAGAGCCAUCGAACUCUCCUGCGGCUUGCUUUAAUUGGGACAAAUUACUCGGUGUACGUGAGCCGUGAUCGAACGAACUCGCGAUCUCACGGUUCAAACGCGAGUUUGCAUUAACCUCUAUCUCUUUGACGCGAGCCGGGAGUACUUUGCGGACUAAAUUAAAUCGAUCGAGUGAAUAGCUACUUGGUCUCUCCGCUCUAUUCGCAUUGGAAAAUUUUACUUUUUUUUCCCCAUUACAUUCAACCACUCUGCAUAAUCGCGACGAUAUUUUUAGGGAACUUGGACCAACAUUUAGUAUAUAUUGUACGAGUACUCGUUUCUCCAAAGAAAAAUACGUCGCGUAGUACAUCACAAAUCACUUCCAUAAACUUCUCAAUAAUAUUGAUCUACCAUCGAGAUAUCAGAUGUAGGCAAGCGUCGGGUUUCAGUUGGAUCAAAAGUUAUCUGGGACGAAGAAAAGAGAAGAGAGCGGGGAGCAAGAGGAUAGGUGGUAGUGAAUUUGUCGUCGGGCGAGGUAUACCAUGUCUCUGGUGUCUCAUAAAAAAUGAUCGAUCGAGCGGCAGCCACCACCUCGCCCGCGACGGACGAUUGAGUUCGACUGGGUUGAGACGCCGGAUAUUAAGAGGCGCGCGUAUCGAUUUAUAAGAGCGGUUUCCCGCCAUUAAAAGGCCUAAAACCCACGACUCGAGUCCCUUUUGACCUCCCGUCUUAUCUUACAUUGCCAACCAUCGAACCGGAGGACGUCCAUUCGCUCAUACGAUCGGGAGACUAUUCAAGGUCCCAUUCUCGAUCUGAGAUUAAGAAACUCGCGUGAGUCCGGGGACGUCGACGAUGAAGAUCGAGCGCGAGUUCUGGAUGCUUUCGAUCAUCCAUCACCGGCGGUAGUAAUUUGGUGUCAAUUUUUCGUGAUUAAGUGAAAGACAGGCAGGUUAGAGAUGGGAGAGAAAACCGAGGGGGAGCACUUGGGAAAGAGCGAGGGAUAUUUUCCGCGUUGAUAUCGAUAACAGGAAAGAGAGACACACACACACACUCUCUCUCUCUCUCCCUCUCGCGAAAGUUGUUUGGCUGAAGCGGACUCCGUCACGAAAUUUGCCUAUUACGUCAAUCUCACGCCAUUAGCGGAACGAAUUGGCGUUCGUCCCGCACAGCCUCAACCCUCAGCUAGAACUUUGAAACGUACAUCAAUAUUAAAUAUUUAGCUGUCACUCAGUUCAGCAUUACGAACUAAUUGCCUGGUAUUAUAUAGGCUAACCUGGUAUUUUAUCAUUCGUGUACAAUCGACAAAUUAUAAUUAUUCCUCAUUCUAAAUAUUUCACAUCAGCAUAUGAGAUUAUGUCACGCGUACACAACAACGGAAAUAAUAUCAGCAGUCUUAAUGAAGGAAAAUACCGUCAAUUAUCGAGAUAUCGCGAAUUGUUCCCGACGUCGCCUGCAUCGAUCACGGUGUGCCGUAUCGUCGACAUCCACCUGGGUCCCUGGUACACACCAUACCACACGCUCAACGUGAACCUCGCUCUCGCCUCGAAUGAUCGCUACGGCGCGACGGCAUCAGUACAUACAACGUCACGUAUUUGUGAGAGGCGGGUAACUCGUGAAUUGAACGAAGCAAUCAGUACACCUCCAUUAUCUGGUUCAGUUUCGCUGCCGCUGCCGCCGCCGCGUCGGUAGGAUCUCGCAUUUAUCUUCGUUUUCGAGAAUUUAUGAUAGUCACCCGAGUACCGAAAGCUUAUUUCGUUGCCAACUUUUUUUCAUCGCCACUGUCGGAGAGACAUCACGAGACGUCAGUUGACAACGGAGACAACAAAAUAAAAAAAAAACAUAAAAAAGCGUGUGAAAGAUUCGCUAUAAAAAUCGGCGGUAUUCCAUAUCGGAAGAGAUUAAAAACUGAGCGUACUUUUCGUACGAAAAUCAACACAUGUUUGCACGGCAAACUAAUUGUUUAUGUUGAGUCCCUCGUUUUGCGCUUAAUUUCGAAUGGCGAGACACUAUUUAUGAAACAACUAAUUCGUUAGCGCACGCGAGAAGGGGAUAAUGCGCGAGUUUGGGAAUCCAGUCGGACAAGGUAGGGGUCCAGCCAAACGAACGAGCGUUGAAUCGAAGUUGAACCGAAGUUCCACACGUUGUUAAAUGUUUCCCAUGUCGCAGUUACGUCGGCGACAGUAGACACAUUAAUUCGACGGCGGCGCUGCGCCGAUCCUCGUAUUCAUAUUUAUGUCGCAUCCGAUGAUAAUUAUUAUCGGAAUGCCUAAUUGUUGUUUGUGCCCGUGCAGAGCGCCUACCUGCCUGCCGUCCUGCACAUAGCCGCCACCCUACGCCUCGUCGCUUAAUGCAAUUUCCGGUGUCGAGUCUGCACGUAAGCGCGCACGCGAAUACACGAAUGCGUAACACGAACACCCACGGUGUGGCACACGCCAAAUACACGCAGCCAAGUAUGACUUUCGAGUGAAUUCCCCGUACAAUAACCUGGAUGUUGUGGGUCAGUGGUUCUCGGGCGUUUUACACGAUAUCCUAAACUCCGGUCCAUUUUUCAUCGGUACAGCCGAAAACAUCGCGACGAUAAAUUUCAUCUCAAAGUUAGAAACAAUUUAUAAAGCUACUGGCAUCGCAUCACGCUUCAACGCCCCAUCUGAAAACUCUCUCUCUCUCUCUCUCUCUCUCUCUCUCUCUCUCUCUCUCUCUCUCUCUCUCUCUCUCUCUCUCUCUCUCUCUCUCUCUCUCUCUCUCUCUAUUGUAGACAGAUAACAAUAUAUCGAUGGAAAAUAAAAACACGAACAUAUAAAAAUAUAUAUAAUCAAGUGACAUCAAGCGUGCACGUGAAAUAUGUGUGAUAUUAAAAAAUAUUAAAUAUUUUGACUAAUUACUUAAAAAUCACAUGUGCGUAUACAAUAUUAACUUUCAUUCGCAUAUUAAAAUUAAGGAAGCUUCUGGCGGUCAUAAAAUUAAUAAAGCACAAAAAAUAGAGAGUUCAUAUAUUGCUUCAUAAUCAAAAACAUAAUAUGUACGUUACUUCAUCGUAAUCGAAGUAGUCGUAUUAUGCCAUCAGGAAACACCAAAGCUAUUGCCUUGUUUUUUUUUUCAGAUACAAUACUCCUGAUCUACCGUACGCCGCCGUCGUUGUUCCAUAAAUUGAAAAUGGAGCUAUGUAAUUAAUAGCGCGUACUACAUUGUUCCUAAUGCCAGUAAUACGUGGUUAUAUAAUUACCAAUUCAGGCACGGAACAAUGUAGUCGGGAGCGGUGAAUCACGGUACAGUGACAGCUUAAAGAAUAAUGUAUGAGCAGUAUUUUGCUGCAAGACUUAUCUACGAUAGCGUUUGUUACACGGCACAACAACUCAUUCCGAAAAUGCACGCGUGUAUAUGGUUGGAAUGUUAUUCGCAUGAGAGAUGAGGAGCAGCAAUGGUCGUCGAGAGUGCUAGCGUCGUCUACGAGCCACGGUACGGUAUUUAGAGAGGAGGCCGGUGAGACAUGGAGGCGAGUGGAUGGCGGUUGAAGGGUUGCGGUGAGUUAAAGAGAGGGCUGAAAAAUUACCAACAGGGACGAGCCCGGCAUCCAUGUUACCCUUCCCCCCGAUGACUCGCCCUUGCGCGGAACGAGAACGGCGGAGAGCUCGCCGGAGGGAGCAAGCAAGCGGGAGAAAAAGAGAAACGAAGAGAGGGAUGAUGCGGGGUGCGGAGGAGCAGUGUAAAGUCUGAGCCUCUGCGGUCUCUCGGCACAUUUUUUUCCGUUUAAAGCAAUUUUUCUGCUCGUUUCUAGCCAUCCACCCUCUGUCGCUUCCCCGCAUCUACAAACUCGCUCCUCAUCCGCUCGUCCUCCUUGUUGAGACGAAUAUCUCGGGCGCCUCGCGGUCUUGCGAUAAUUGUUUAAGAUUUUCUUCCCUUUCCUCCCCUCGGUCGUCCAUUUCCUUAAGCAAGUCGAUUAGUCAACGCGUUCUCAACCGCUCUUUUUCGUUCGAUCCCCUUCCUUCAACUGUUUCCGAGAGACAAUAAUUGGUCCAGUUCAAAUCAGCUUUUUUCGCCUUUGCUCUCGCCUACGCGACAAAUUCGCUCUCGAACAAAUAUCUCUUCAACAUCUUUCGCGAGCUACUUACGAAUUUGUCAUUCAAAAUUUAUAUUUACUUCGCGUUCCUUUGCUAAUUAUGUACUCAUAAGAGAGAAAGAAAGACAAAAGAGAAGAAAGCUUUAAACUAGAUGUAACAAUUCCAAGAAAAUAUAAUGUUCCGAUUACCUCGUUACGUCAAAGUAGAACGCAAUCAUUCAGAAAUACUCAAGGCUAUUUUCUUUAUUAUCGAUUAUAACAAUCAAUCGGUUUUAAUAAUAUGUAAUUUUCACCGUAUAACUGAUAAAAUUAUUCUGUAUUGUUUAGAAAAAAAAUUAUUUAUUUUGCAACUUGCAAAUAAUAUACGCAAACUUUUAUUUUGUAAAAGGAAGGAAAGUCAGUAAAUAGUAUAUGUCGCGGUGUCUCUCUGCGAAUAUCGAGUGGCGUUAAUGCUUCGAAUUGUACAAGGAAAUGCGCUUCCUCUCUGAUUUACUGAAAAAUGCGACGUUCUCAUCCCGCGCGAGAGAGCGAAAUUUCAUUUGUUUACGCGCGAAGAUCAUAAUCCCUCCUCGUUGUCGUUCGUCCCUUUCACGUAGGGAAAUCCGUUGCCGCGUGACAUUUAAUUGAAAAUACCAUCCCGUCUCCCGGACACGUCGCAUCCGGUAAGGCCGUGUUCGACGAUCGAUUAGAGUCCAGCAUGUCCGACGACGGGUAGCUUCACGCCGGAGACAUAUCGGUCGCAGUCCGGUAAACCGGGCCCGAUAAAGUGUUAACGAGCAGCGGAUUUCCCAUCUGUCGCGUUGUUGCUGGAACAUCGCCGGAACAACGGGGAACGGAAGAUUGGUAGGGCCAAAGGCCGGAUAACGUCGCCCGUGGAAGGUCGUUAACGUUAAUGAAUAAGUAAGGUUAAUUUGCGAAUGAGUUUCACACUACGUGAUACCGUUCCCGUCGCUGCUGCUGCUACUUCUGCUUGGCUACCGCACACCCGAGGGCAUCCAUUUCAUUAUCGAAACCAGCAAGCCGGUGCUUCGCAUCUGAUCUCUCUCUCUCUCUCUCUCUUUCUCUCUCUCUCUCUCUCUCUCUCUCUCUCUGUGUCUCUCUCAUUCGCACCUUCUUCAAGUCACGAAUCCUCUCUGUGGUUUUCAUGACACAAUCUUAAGUUCUCUCAAAAAAGUCACAUUGUCGCUUUCAUGAGAAAAAAACGCACGUGACUUUUCCUGUUUUUACAUUGUAAUAACGUAUUAUUAACUUUUAGCAUAAAAAUAAAAAUGCGGCGUAUUUAUAAAAUAUUUAUAAUAUCCAAUUCACAAGAGAUGUUUCGUGUACUUGUAUGUCUUGUAUUAUUCUUUAUCUUUUACAUUCUUUCUUAUUUUCUUAGAAACUCGUAUCAAUUGCUGAUAUUAAUUAUUUUGAAACUUUAUAACAGGAAAAUUUACGCAAAUUUGAUGUUUAAAUAACCAGCAAAGAUAGGGUAUAUCACGUAUUUGAUAAUCACACUAAUCGGUAUGCAGGCUCAAUAGCCCGCCCAACAGGGCGUGCUUUACAAACGCCUGAAGCUUUUACCGUCCAAACUUAGCGACAGUUCUCUAUAUCCAAACGCGCAGCUCCUCAACGUCAUCCCCUCGCGCCAACGACAUGCCAAGUUUUCGGCGUCUAACUUUCUUCUCACGCGGAAGUUUAGGUCGGAACUUAAUUCUAUGCGCGAGAUACAGGCGUCAGCCCGGAAGUUUGUAGAAAUUGGUCCCCGAAGAAAGACUGGCGGAUAGACGGUCGAUGUGUCGUAUGACCAUUAAAAAAGGGGGAUCAGUGUUGCAUAUAAAAUAAAACAAAAAUAACGCAAACAAUAAUAACGACUCGAAAGCGGCCGAUAAUCGCGCCAUCAAAGCUAAUGAAAUUUCGUUAUCGAAAGUAAGAUUCACGUUCGCCACGCGGCACAUUAUUUUCAGCAAGCGACAGCGGGGUACAAUAUGGCGGUUUACUCGAUAAGCCAUAAUGCUUUACCCGUCAGCAUAUCAUGCGGAAGGUCACGCAAGAAUUUACACGAGUAUGCGAGUGCGGUUCGCCCACUGGAAUAUGCGGUUGCGCGCUUCUAGCAUAAAUCACUUCUCGCAAUAUCCAUCUAGGGCCUUCCCAGGAGCCUAUUCCUCAAGGCGAAUGACUUUCGCAAACCUCCGUUUGAGAGCUUCCAUUUUGGCCAUCGACAUAUAAAUGCCUCUUCUCUCAUUCUACAUUUCUCACUUUACGUGUCAUGUAGUCCUCGUAAUCACCUACAACUCUCCCGAUGAUUAUUGAUCCAUGCACAUCUAACCACGGAAUAGUUUGCGGAAUAUCGGCAAACUUUUAACGCUCUGCUUUUAUAUACGCUCUCCGUGUUCGUCCAAUUCUUUUUAUGUUCUAAUUUUUAUAUUAAUUAAAAAAUGUAAAAACACACACGUUAUCUCCUACUUCAUUUUUCACUAAAUGUAUGUCACCGUCUCUGCGGUCAAUAUUCAGAAAAGUAAUUUAACAUAAAUACGCAUUUUUGGCUACUUUAUGAAUAAAUAUAGUGCUUUACUCUCGACAGCUUAUAGCAUAUUGCAUGCCGAAAAACCUAGCGCGUGCGAGUGAGCGCUUUGUGUUCUAUUGAUGGUCAAUAAAAGUAUCCCUCGUCCAUCAUCAUCAUCUCGACCAAUUCAACGCCAGCCUCUUCAUCAUCCCGGUAGUCGCGAUAAAAGUGAAGACAUGUUUUUAUUUUAUCGCCGCUUAAUGAACCUUUCCGAAAAUUCGCAUUCCCGACGGUGCGACAACCGUUAUCGGCGUUUGUUACCAUCCGUUUUAACGUAGGUUCGUUUAAGCAGGCUCUUCCGAAUUUCGCGCUCACUGCCAGAGCUACGUGCAAUCUCGACGAUAGAGCAAGAUGAAGGGCUACGCCUGGGAAGACGAGGAGAGGACGAGAAGGGAGACGGGCAUCUAAGCGCGCCUCCCUGAUGAGAGCGGGUAGAGCUGCCGCGGGAAACGAGGUACUUCAAAGCGUCAUUUACGAGUGAGAUUGAUUUAAUUGAAGGGAUAGCUCGAAACGAGAAUCGGAUGCGAUCUACCAGGACCGGUCGACGUCACGAUUUUACGCGUGCCUUCGUGCGCUCGCCUUCCGUGUAGUCAAAGAAAGACGAAUCCAUCGACUCGUCUCCCGAUAGAGAUGCUGCCGCCGACGAGACUGAUCCUCUCCUCGUAGAAUCUUUGCGAACGACUCGACGAUCAUCUUGUGAUUUGUGUGAACGUGGGAACCGGUAAUUUGUUUUGGGCUCGUUUAAUCAAGACGCGCGGCUACGAGAUUCGAGGAGGAGAGCACGAGCGAGCGCUUGCCGAGAGUUCCAUUAAGGUGGGCCGGCCGCUGUCAAACCCUUUCGUAAUAUUAAUGUCUUCCGUAUAAUUGCAUUAUACAAGCUAUCCCGCGAUAGAUUCUCUGAAAUAUAUACUCAUCUUGGGUACAAGAAAUAAUUUCUUUCAGUGACAGCCGCAGUAAAGAUAAAAAAUUUGAAACAAAUUUGGAAUAGAACAUUGGCGAUGAUGCGGUUACUGCAACGUGUGUUGUAUUAAUCAAUACCUUUAGAAGUUGCAAUAAGACAUACUGCAAUAACGUUCAUCAGCUUGUUUUGUUGUACAAAUUUUUCUCUUUAGUUUUUUAUUGCUUUUUUAUGAAACUGAGACGAUUAUUCCACCACAAAAUGUACUUUUUGUUUAUUUCUUUUUUAGGAUCAUCAAGAUUUACGCAAUGCAUCGCCGUGACUGAGAAAACACGUUGAAGAUACAUCUGAUGUCUUACGUAUACGAAGCAUAUACCGAUAGUAUUGGUCGUAAACGUCCCGAAUAAAGUGACUUCGUUCCAUCUUUUUAUCGGCACGCUAAAGCAUGCAAACUGCUGUUGUGUCUAUGUAGAUGCGCGCCGCGACCGCGGAGUUGUGGUAAUAGUGAUUCGUAAUCUCUCUAGAGAAUUUCACGUACUACACCCUUAAAUAAGAUCUAAUGUAGUAACCCAAUCGUAACCCCCUGGGUAAUUUCCAGACUCGUAUUGCAGCUUACUGUCUACUAAUCGUUUGUAUCCACAUUGAUAAUUGAUCCAUUUAAUCCGACAUUCUCCAAAAGCUGUCGCUUUUCAUCCCGGCGAAGAGACUUACGUUAGCAUUUAGAGCGGAUUAACUGGGCAUUAUUAUAGUAGAGUAAGGUUAAGAAAGCUGAUUAGUAAAUUAGCUUUAAGAGAUACUCAAAGUGAAUUAUUCAAAUCGAUCGUAAAGAUUAAAUAAAAUUCAUUAUUAAAGUUAAAUCGUAUCGCAUGUUAUCACAUUAUGCUCUUAAAUUAAUUAUAAAAAAAUGAUUGUAGUUUAAAUUAUUAUAAAAUAAUAAGUUAUAAUAGUCUUCUUCAACUGCAAGUGUUUGUAUACAAUUUUUUUGUGUUUAUUAUAAAAACAAUUAAUAGAAUCAUUGAUAAUUGAUAAAAUAAAAAUUGCCUCCUCCUACUAUUUCUAAACACUACUUAUUCUUGAGAGCCACUUAAAUUCAACGAAUUAAAAAUUAUACGUUAAAAUCAACUAAUUAGUUCUUAAAAGUUAUUUGAGUCAGUACUUAUAAGAAUGCAAUUUACUUGCUAUCAAAUUACAGGGUGUCUAACAACUUGGUAAAGUUCGGAAUUUUAGGUACAUCUUGUAUAGGGAAGCGCAAGGAUUCGCCGAGCGGAGAAUAAUUGGCUUAGAAAUGCAUAGAGUUCUAAAGCAGUUGCCGCGGUCGAGUGUCAUUGAAUCGGCUCAGACUCUUGUCUUGAUAUGAAGUCGAGUUAUUACUAGAAGCCCUGUCGAACAUCCAGGAACUAGAUAUAAGACGGAAUACUUGAAAACGUUGUAAAAUGCUCAUUGCGUAUCGGUGCUUCGAUUAAUCGCGUCGAGUAUGUGGUCGAAGAGCCACGAUGAACGCGAGAGAUGCGUAUGAGAAUGUCUUUUCACCUCUCAAUUACGAUCGACAAACUACGAGAUGAUUGGCAAUCGCGGGCUGGCAGCAGAUCGCCGCUAAACAAUCGCCAGUUGAUUGCAGCCUGCGAACCGUUUGCUCACGUAAAUAUGGAACGUAUUAACGAGCCCCGACCCCGGGUGUGUAAGGGUAAUCGCGCCAAUUAUUAUUUAUUGAUUAUCGAUAGUGGAUUAUCAUUUAUGCGAUAUUUAAGCUGCCAAUUAAUAUCAGAAAUUCAUCUUGCAUACCUUAUCGUUUUGAAGAUCGUUCGAGAAUAAAGAAAGCAGUUCUUUUCUCAUUUCCAAGAUCGCAAAGCCGAGAAGCUGAUGGCAAAAGAUUUUAUGGACGGAGCUUUACGGAGAUUUUCGGAAGACAGUUUGCACACAUUAAGCUAACCGUGCCAUAAAUCCGACAUUAUUGUUUCGUACGUAGAGCUGAGUAAUAAAAGAUUGCAUGUCAGCCGACGAUAUCAUUACGCACGAUCGCGCUUUAUGGCGGCCGUUUUCCUCCCUGUUUUGCUACCCGUAAUUCGAUUUGAAGAUACCGUCGAUACAUGAAUGCGAGCUUAUGAAUGAUUUAUGCAGCAGUGAUUCACAUAUCUGAAAUAAUUACAUCACCAAAGUCGCAUUAUGGACGCAUCUGUACUCUCGGCAGUUAAUGACCCAACGAAUACGAAUUCACAGAUAUUACACUGUUCUCAGCGCUUGGCGUUUGUUAAUAAUGAACGCGAUAAAGAAGGAAGACCAAUCGCGUUUAUUUAAGUUAACAGUUAAACGAUAAACGAAUAAUUAAUAAGGUAAGAUCACGUUCAAUAAAUCAUACUUCUUUUUCGCGCAAAAAGUGCAAGCGUUUGCUUUGCUCAA